GACGAACGCUGGCGGCGCGCCUAACACAUGCAAGUCGAACGAGCGAGAGGGAGCUUGCUUUCUCAAGCGAGUGGCGAACGGGUGAGUAACGCGUGAGGAACCUGCCUCAAAGAGGGGGACAACAGUUGGAAACGACUGCUAAUACCGCAUAAGCCCACAGGUCGGCAUCGACCAGAGGGAAAAGGAGCAAUCCGCUUUGAGAUGGCCUCGCGUCCGAUUAGCUAGUUGGUGAGGUAACGGCCCACCAAGGCAACGAUCGGUAGCCGGACUGAGAGGUUGAACGGCCACAUUGGGACUGAGACACGGCCCAGACUCCUACGGGAGGCAGCAGUGGGGAAUAUUGCACAAUGGGGGAAACCCUGAUGCAGCGACGCCGCGUGGAGGAAGAAGGUCUUCGGAUUGUAAACUCCUGUUGUGGAGGAAGAUAAUGACGGUACUCAACAAGGAAGUGACGGCUAACUACGUG
rnacentral:rRNA from 1 species